ensembl:lncRNA
CUGUCAUUGCUGGAGAGGACCGUGUUCUCUAGCAAGACGGGCUGUUGUUUUGGGCAACGAUCUCAGUCUCAUCUUAGAGCAAUGUCGCACUCCCGGCAUGCCUGGACGAUGUCAGAUAGCUGUCUGGGCAGUCCCCAUGCUUUAGCAUCUGUCCACAUUGUCUUUUGUCCAGCAUGCCAUAGCUUCUGAUCUAACCAACGGGUGAUGUUCUCAGAUGAGGAAUUCUCAAUACACUGAACUCAGGUCAGUGUGUCUGCUUCGUCAUUUUCUGGUGAUUGUAGGGGUUGGUGACCAGAAACAAGGUAGACAUGUACAGUCUUGUGUUUGACUGCAUUCCACAUGUCUAACCAUAUAUCUUUGCCCCAGAUUGGUCAGGCGUGGAUAGUCCAUUCCUGGAUAGCCCACCGUGCAAUCCAAAGAGCGAGCCCCUGGUACAGAGCCCAACUAUCUGUGCUGAUAUUCAGGAUACUAUCACUGGGUUCCUUGGCAAUAACCAUGAACACGGCUCUCAGUUCUGCCCAUUGUCUGCUCUGACCAUCCCCCUCGUCAAACUAGAUUGUCUUGGUGGAGAGAUGGUAUGCUAUUGCUCUCCACUUGCUCGGGUUGCCCUUGCUGGACCCAUCUGUGUACCAGGCAUCUUCAGGAAUACAAUAUUUCCCCUCUUGAACAGGACUCUUCUCUGGUGGAGCCACCAGUGUUUCUUUUGGUGCAUCACUGUGAUAUGUCACUGGGCCUAGGAUUGUCUUAAGUUCUUCUAGUGGUGAUGAGACAGACUACUCCUCUAUCUGAGAUAGGUGACCCAUCAUGCCACUGUUUGUGCCUGGGCUACCCCUGUCUUAGGCAUGUGGGUCAGAUCUUUCACCUACCCCUGAUUCGGCAGAGUUGUCUUAACUAUGACUUCAGCUGUUUGGGUUAUCAGUUCUACUGCCUAUAAUGCGGAGUAGGCAGCCAAUAACCGUUUUUCAAUCAUAGUGUAUCUUUUCUCCUGCUCCAUGCUGGACCUGAGACCAGAAUACUCUGGUGUUGCCACAGACCCCAGCCAAAGACGUUGUGAGUUUGAACAUAUAGGGGUUAAAUAAGCUAGCUUUGAAAACUAGGGAAAGAGAACGACAUCUCAACUUUUCAUGAUCAGCUGUGUGAACACAAAGAAAGGAACAAUAUGAAAUGAAUGGCUUUGACUAGUUUGAAUGCAACGUAAAAAGGUCAGACCAAGGAAGACAUUGAGCCUUCACGAGGAAGACUUCAGACUUCAUCCCCACGACCACCAGAAGGAGACCCCUACUACAGACAAUGCAUGCACCAGGGGAGGGGCAGUAUGUAAACAAAUUUCCAGAAGGAUAAUGAAUAUGUAAGUGGAUUCCAAGAAUUCUGCUGAAUAUGUAUGGGCUUCGCUUACAAAUCUGUAGCACUUUUGCUUACUGGUGUGCAGGUUUGGUGGAGUGAUCCCCCUUGCACCUGACUGAUUGUGCAAUUGUCAAAUAAAUCAUACCUGCUUUAUUACCU